rnacentral:rRNA from 1 species
AUGGACUGGCUACCUCGGCUCGGUGGCGGACUCUCUGAUGCUUCGCGACGGAAAGGUGCGCAGGCGCUUGAGGCGUUGAUCUGCUGGGAAAUCUGGCUUGAGCGCAACAGAAGAAUUUUUCAGCAUAAGGAGCUCCCGGUGGCAGCCAUGGUUAAUCGUAUUUGCGAUGAAGCGGCAACAUGGAAAUUGGCAGGAUGUCCAAUACCAUUUGACCCGGGCUAA